UACGGAGGGUGCAAACGUUGCUCGGAAUCAUUGGGCGUAAAGCGCACGUAGGCGGCCUGUUAAGUCGGAUGUGAAAGCCCCGGGCUCAACUCGGGAAGUGCAUUCGAAACUGAUAGGCUUGAAUAUGGAAGAGGGUCGCGGAAUUCCCGGUGUAGAGGUGAAAUUCGUAGAUAUCGGGAGGAACACCAGUGGCGAAGGCGGCGACCUGGGCCAAUAUUGACGCUGAGGUGCGAAAGCGUGGGGAGCAAACAGG
rnacentral:rRNA from 1 species